rnacentral:rRNA from 1 species
UACGGGGGGGGCAAGCGUUGUUCGGAAUUACUGGGCGUAAAGGGCGCGUAGGCGGCGCAACAAGUCACUUGUGAAAUCUCCGGGCUUAACCCGGAGCGGUCAAGUGAUACUGUCGUGCUAGAGUGCGGAAGGGGCUACUGGAAUUCUCGGUGUAGCGGUGAAAUGCGUAGAUAUCAGGAGGAACACCAAUAGCGAAGGCAGCUCGCUGGGACGUUACUGACACUGGAGGCGCGACAGCGUGGGGAGCAAACAGG